GCGGGAGUGGCGAAACGGCAGACGCGCGAGACUUAGGAUCUCGUGGGGAAACCCGUGGGGGUUCGAGUCCCCCCUUCCGCACCA
rnacentral:tRNA from 1 species